rnacentral:rRNA from 1 species
ACGACUAAUACCGCAUACGGUUCUUGGAAGGCAUCUUCUAAGAAAGAAAGGAUUUAUUCGGUAAAAGAUGGGCCCGCAUCUGAUUAGCUAGUUGGUGAGAUAAUAGCCCACCAAGGCAACGAUCAGUAGCCGACCUGAGAGGGUGACCGGCCACAUUGGGACUGAGACACGGCCCAAACUCCUACGGGAGGCAGCAGUGGGGAAUAUUGCACAAUGGGCGAAAGCCUGAUGCAGCAACGCCGCGUGAAGGAAGACGGUUUUCGGAUUGUAAACUUCUAUCAAUAGGGAAGAAAGAAAUGACGGUACCUAAAUAAGAAGCCCCGGCUAACUACGUGCCAGCAGCCGCGGUAAUACGUAGGGGGCAAGCGUUAUCCGGAAUUACUGGGUGUAAAGGGAGAGUAGGCGGCAAGGUAAGCGAUAUGUGAAAGCCUUAAGCUUAACUUAAGGAUUGCAUAACGAACUAUCUAGCUAGAGUACAGGAGAGGAAAGCGGAAUUCCUAGUGUAGCGGUGAAAUGCGUAGAUAUUAGGAAGAACACCAGUGGCGAAGGCGGCUUUCUGGACUGAAACUGACGCUGAGGCUCGAAAGCGUGGGGAGCGAACAGGAUUAGAUACCCUGGUAGUCCACGCUGUAAACGA